AUACGGAGGGUGCAAGCGUUGUUCGGAAUUACUGGGCGUAAAGCGCGUGCAGGCGGUAAGGUAAGUCAGAUGUGAAAGCCCCGGGCUCAACCCGGGAAGUGCAUUUGAUACUGCCUUUCUUGAGUAUGGGAGAGGAGAGUGGAAUUCCCAGUGUAGAGGUGAAAUUCGUAGAUAUUGGGAGGAACACCCGUGGCGAAGGCGACUCUCUGGACCAAUACUGACGCUGAGACGCGAAAGCGUGGGGAGCGAACAGGAUUAGAAACCCCAGUAGUCC
rnacentral:rRNA from 1 species